CAAAAAGUAUCUUAAAUAAAAGAAUUGAAUUUUUAAUUCAAAUAUAGUAUUUUACUCUUUUUGA
rnacentral:tRNA from 1 species